AGUGAACGCUGGCGGUAGGCCUAACACAUGCAAGUCGAACGGCAGCACAGUAAGAGCUUGCUCUUACGGGUGGCGAGUGGCGGACGGGUGAGGAAUACAUCGGAAUCUACUUUUUCGUGGGGGAUAACGUAGGGAAACUUACGCUAAUACCGCAUACGACCUACGGGUGAAAGCAGGGGAUCUUCUGACCUUGCGCGAUUGAAUUAGCCGAUGUCGGAUUAGCUAGUUGGGUGGGUGAAGGCCCACCAAGGCGACGAUCCGUAGCUGGUCUGAGAGGCUGGUAGGCCACACUGGAACUGAGCCACGGUCCAGACUCCUGCGGGAGGCAGCAGUGGGGAAUAUUGGACAAUGGUCGCAAGCCUGAUCCAGCCAUACCGCGUGGGUGAAGAAGGCCUUCGGGUUGUAAAGCCCUUUUGUUGGGAAAGAAAAGCAGCAGGUUAAUACCCCGCUGUUCUGACGGUACCCAAAGAAUAAGCACCGGCUAACUUCGUG
rnacentral:rRNA from 1 species